rnacentral:rRNA from 1 species
AUUGAACGCUGGCGGCAGGCCUAACACAUGCAAGUCGAACGAAUGGCGGACGGGUGAGUAAUGUCUGGGAAACUGCCUGAUGGAGGGGGAUAACUACUGGAAACGGUAGCUAAUACCGCAUACCAUCAGAUGUGCCCAGAUGGGAUUAGCUAGUUGGUGGGGUAAAGGCUCACAAGGGCGACGAUCCCUAGCUGGUCUGAGAGGAUGACCGGCCACACUGGAACUGGGACACGGUCCAGACUCCUACGGAAGGCAGCAGUGGGGAAUAUUGCACAAUGGGCGCAAGCCUGAUGCAGCCAUGCCGCGUGUAUGAAGAAGGCCUUCGGGUUGUAAAGUACUUUCAGCGGGGAGGCGUUACCCGCAGAAGAAGCACCGGCUAACUCCGUGCCAGCAGCCGCGGUAAUUC